rnacentral:rRNA from 1 species
UACGUAGGUGGCAAGCGUUGUCCGGAAUUAUUGGGCGUAAAGGGCGCGUAGGCGGUUUGGCAAGUCUAGUGUGAAAUCUUCGGGCUCAACUCGAAGUCUGCACUGGAAACUGCCGGGCUUGAGUAUGGGAGAGGUGAGUGGAAUUUCCGGUGUAGCGGUGAAAUGCGUAGAUAUCGGAAGGAACACCUGUGGCGAAAGCGGCUCACUGGACCAUAACUGACGCUGAGGCGCGAAAGCGUGGGGAGCAAACGGG